rnacentral:rRNA from 1 species
CAAUUGUCGCGUGGGUCUGAUGUCUUCCGAUGGAACCUCCAUGGGAAUGGACAAUUCUCAGUGGAGUUAAUGUAUAGAGAGUUAAUCCAGUCUGAUGUGCCAGUUGAUAACAACAAGAAGAUCUGGAAGAUGAAGAUACCUCUUAAGAAUGAAAUAUUUGCAUGGUAUCUUCCUCGCGGAGUCAUUCUUACUGAAGAUAACCUUAUUAAGAGGAAUUGGAUUUAAAGUGCGCAAUGUGUCUUUUGUCAUCAUGAUGAGACAAUAAAACAUUUAUUCUUUCAAUGCAAAUUGGCUCAUUCUAUAUGGUUAAUCAUCCAAAUAGCUUCUGGCUUGUAUCCUCCACAUUGUGUUGCUAAUGUAUUUUGCAACUAG